rnacentral:rRNA from 1 species
GGAAGGUCCGGGCGUUAUCCGGAUUUAUUGGGUUUAAAGGGAGCGUAGGCUGGUUUUCAAGUCAGCUGUGAAAGUUCGCGGCUCAACCGUAAAAUUGCAGUUGAUACUGGGUCCCUUGAGUGCGGCAGAGGCAGGCGGAAUUCGUGGUGUAGCGGUGAAAUGCUUAGAUAUCACGAAGAACUCCGAUCGCGAAGGCAGCUUGCCGGACCGUAACUGACGCUGAUGCUCGAAAGUGCGGGUAGC